rnacentral:rRNA from 1 species
CGGCUCAUUAACACGUGGUUAACAUACCCUCAGGUGGGGGAUAACCUUGGGAAACUGAGGAUAAUACCCCAUAGAAAAAGCAGUCUGGAACGAUUCUUUUUCGAAAGCAUAUGCGCCUGAGGAUUGGACUGCGCUCGAUUAGGUAGUUGGUGGGGUAAUGGCCCACCAAGCCUACGAUCGGUACGGGCCUUGAGAGAGGAAGCCCGGAGAUGGGGACUGAGACACGGCCCCAGGCCCUACGGGGCGCAGCAGGCGCGAAACCUCCGCAAUGCACGAAAGUGCGACGGGGGGAUCCCAAGUGCUCAUGCACAGCAUGGGCUUUUAUCAAGUGUAAACAGCUUGAGGAAUAAGGGCUGGGCAAGUUCGGUGCCAGCAGCCGCGGUAACACCGACGGCCCGAGUGGUGGCCACUUUUAUUGGGCCUAAAGCGUCCGUAGCCGGUCCAGUAAGUCCUUGUUUAAAUCCUGCGGCUUAACCGCAGGACUGGCAGGGAUACUGCUGGACUUGGGACCGGGAGAGGACAAGGGUACUUCAGGGGUAGCGGUGAAAUGUGUUGAUCCUUGAAGGACCACCUAUGGCGAAGGCACUUGUCUGGAACGGG